GACGAACGCUGGCGGCGUGCCUAAUACAUGCAAGUCGAGCGAAGUUUUUCUGGUGCUUGCACUAGAAAAACUUAGCGGCGAACGGGUGAGUAACACGUAAAGAACCUGCCUCAUAGACUGGGACAACUAUUGGAAACGAUAGCUAAUACCGGAUAACAGUAUUUCUCGCAUGAGAGAUAUUUAAAAGUUGGUUAUGCUAACACUAUGAGAUGGCUUUGCGGUGCAUUAGCUAGUUGGUGGGGUAAAGGCCCACCAAGGCGACGAUGCAUAGCCGACCUGAGAGGGUGAUCGGCCACACUGGGACUGAGACACGGCCCAGACUCCUACGGGAGGCAGCAGUAGGGAAUCUUCCGCAAUGGGCGAAAGCCUGACGGAGCAACGCCGCGUGAGUGAAGAAGGAUUUCGGUUCGUAAAGCUCUGUUGUUAGGGAAGAAUGGAUAUGUAGU
rnacentral:rRNA from 1 species